rnacentral:rRNA from 1 species
AUUCCAGCUCCAAUAGCGUAUAUUUAAGUUGUUGCAGUUAAAAAGCUCGUAGUUGGAUUUCGGGUGUCAUCUGCCGGUCCGCCGUUUCGGUGUGCACUGGCGGGCGUCAUCUUUCUGUCGAGGACGCGCUCCUGUCCUUUAUUGGUCGGGACGCGGAGUCGGCGAGGUUACUUUGAAAAAAUUAGAGUGUUCAAAGCGGGCUUACGCUUGAAUAUAUUAGCAUGGAAUAACACUAUAGGACUCCUGUUCUAUUUUGUUGGUCUUCGGGACGGGAGUAAUGAUUAAGAGGAACAGUUGGGGGCAUUCGUAUUUCAUUGUCAGAGGUGAAAUUCUUGGAUUUAUGAAAGACGAACUUCUGCGAAAGCAUUUGCCAAGGAUGUUUUCAUCA